CCUACGUGGUGCUGCAGUGGGGAAUAUUGGACAAUGGGCGAAAGCCUGAUCCAGCCAUGCCGCGUGUGUGAAGAAGGCCUUCGGGUUGUAAAGCACUUUCAGUGGGGAAGAAAGCCUUGGGGCUAAUACCCUCGAGGAAGGACAUCACCCACAGAAGAAGCACCGGCUAACUCCGUGCCAGCAGCCGCGGUAAUACGGAGGGUGCGAGCGUUAAUCGGAAUUACUGGGCGUAAAGCGCGCGUAGGCGGUCUGAUAAGCCGGUUGUGAAAGCCCGGGGCUCAACCUGGGAACGGCAUCCGGAACUGUCAGGCUAGAGUGCAGGAGAGGAAGGUAGAAUUCCCGGUGUAGCGGUGAAAUGCGUAGAGAUCGGGAGGAAUACCAGUGGCGAAGGCGGCCUUCUGGACUGACACUGACGCUGAGGUGCGAAAGCGUGGGUAGCAAACAGGAUUAGAUACCCUAGUAGUC
rnacentral:rRNA from 1 species